GAGUGGGAAGCUAGGACCCAGAGGAGUUCCCUCUGGAGCUCAAGGGAAGGAGGCAGGACGGCUGCUCCCAAUCUUUUAAAAAAGCAAAUGAAAAGACAGCUGCUUCCUAGGAAGGCUGCUGCUGUUAGGGGAAACCUCCUUUCAACUCCCUCAGGAAUGGCUACAAAACUAUGUAUUUCUGUGGGCUUAUUUUGCAUGGUGAACUCUGAUUGAAAAAGUAACCCAAGGCACUGGAGAGGCUCUACUGCAUUUGCUCUGAAAUAAAUAGCAGGAAAGAGGUUAACUGGAACAGCUAUAGCAACAGAAGAGAUCAUUAUCCUUCAUGCUGGAUUUUUUCAACACAAAGCCUGGGCCAAUCUACACGGGAGGUCCACUUCCUAGACACCACAGUACAAAUAAGCAAUGGCCACGUUAACACCACCCUAUACCGAAAACCCACCGACUGCUACGCCUACCUUCAUGCCUCCAGCUUCCACCCCGGACACACCACACGAUCCAUCGUCUACAGCCAAGCGCUGAGGUACAACUGCAUCUGCUCCAACCCCUCAGACAGAGACCAACACCUACAAGAUCUUCACCAAGCAUUCUCAAAACUACGAUACCCACACAAGGAAAUAGAGAAACAAAUCAACAGAGCCAGAUGUGUACCCAGAAGCCUCCUGCUACAAGACAGGCCCAAAAAAGAAACCAACAGAACUCCACUGGCCAUCACCUGCAGUCCUCAGCUUAAACCUCUCCAACACAUCAUCAGUGAUC
rnacentral:lncRNA from 1 species